rnacentral:rRNA from 1 species
AUGGAAAAUCUGUGUAGUUCUUAUUUUGUACAUAUGCUUCUGGUUUCAAGGAGAAUUCUUACUCCUUUUGGAAUUACCAUCUUUAAACAUUGUAGAUCCCAAUCUCUUGUGUAUUUGCAUCAAAUACUGUUUUUCGAAUGCUUAUCAUGUAUAAUACUAAACUCCCUCCCCCUACUUCUUCUGUCACAUGUGUUGUUCCUUUGUCAUUAG